AUUGAACGCUGGCGGCAGGCCUAACACAUGCAAGUCGAGCGGUAACAGGGAUCAGCUUGCUGAUUCGCUGACGAGUGGCGGACGGGUGAGUAAUGUCUGGGAAACUGCCUGAUGGAGGGGGAUAACUACUGGAAACGGUAGCUAAUACCGCAUAACGUCGCAAGACCAAAGAGGGGGACCUUCGGGCCUCUUGCCAUCGGAUGUGCCCAGAUGGGAUUAGCUAGUAGGUGGGGUAAAGGCUCACCUAGGCGACGAUCCCUAGCUGGUCUGAGAGGAGGACCAGCCACACGGGAACUGAGACACGGUCCAGACUCCUACGGGAGGCAGCAGUGGGGAAUAUUGCACAAUGGGCGCAAGCCUGAGGCAGCCAUGCCGCGUGUAUGAAGAAGGCCUUCGGGUUGUAAAGUACUUUCAGCGGGGAGGAAGGGAGUAAAGUUAAUACCUUUGCUCAUUGACGUUACCCGCAGAAGAAGCACCGGCUAACUCCGU
rnacentral:rRNA from 1 species